rnacentral:tRNA from 1 species
GGCUCUGUGGCGCAAUGGAUAGCGCAUUGGACUUCUAGGCUGUGAGCUGAGCCAUUCAAAGGUUGUGGGUUCGAGUCCCACCUGAGUCG